rnacentral:rRNA from 1 species
UACGAAGGGGGCUAGCGUUGCUCGGAAUCACUGGGCGUAAAGCGCACGUAGGCGGAUCUUUAAGUCAGGGGUGAAAUCCUGGAGCUCAACUCCAGAACUGCCUUUGAUACUGGGGAUCUCGAGUCCGGAAGAGGUGAGUGGAACUCCGAGUGUAGAGGUGAAAUUCGUAGAUAUUCGGAAGAACACCAGUGGCGAAGGCGGCUCACUGGUCCGGUACUGACGCUGAGGCGCGAAAGCGUGGGGAGCAAACAGG